rnacentral:ncRNA from 1 species
AUGGCGCCCUAGGGGAGUGUUACGACACUGAGAGCCCUGGCCCCUUACAUGAGGCUAGGGGACCCUUUGAACCUGAUCCGGGUAAUGCCGGCGUAGGGAAGUGGCGCGACUCACCG